AGAGUUUGAUCCUGGCUCAGGAUGAACGCUGGCGGCGUGCCUAAUACAUGCAAGUCGAGCGAACCGACGAGGAGCUUGCUCCUUUGAGGUUAGCGGCGGACGGGUGAGUAACACGUGGGCAACCUGCCCUUAAGACUGGGAUAACAUCGAGAAAUCGGUGCUAAUACCGGAUAACUGAUUAGACCGCAUGGUCUAAUGAUAAAAGAUGGCUUCGGCUAUUACUUAAGGAUGGGCCCGCGGCGCAUUAGCUAGUUGGUGGGGUAACAGCCUACCAAGGCAACGAUGCGUAGCCGACCUGAGAGGGUGAUCGGCCACAUUGGGACUGAGACACGGCCCAAACUCCUACGGGAGGCAGCAGUAGGGAAUCUUCCGCAAUGGACGAAAGUCUGACGGAGCAACGCCGCGUGAGUGAUGAAGGUCUUCGGAUCGUAAAACUCUGUUGUUAGGGAAGAACAAGUAUCGUUCGAAUAGGGCGGUACCUUGACGGUACCUAACCAGAAAGCCACGGCUAACUACGUGCCAGCAGCCGCGGUAA
rnacentral:rRNA from 1 species